rnacentral:rRNA from 1 species
GUCGAGCGGCAGCGACUUAACUGAACCUUCGGGGAACGUUAAGGGCGGCGAGCGGCGGACGGGUGAGUAAUGCCUGGGAAUAUGCCCUGAUGUGGGGGAUAACUAUUGGAAACGAUAGCUAAUACCGCAUAAUCUCUUCGGAGCAAAGAGGGGGACCUUCGGGCCUCUCGCGUCAGGAUUAGCCCAGGUGGGAUUAGCUUGUUGGUGAGGUAAUGGCUCACCAAGGCAACGAUCCCUAGCUGGUCUGAGAGGAUGAUCAGCCACACUGGAACUGAGACACGGUCCAGACUCCUACGGGAGGCAGCAGUGGGGAAUAUUGCACAAUGGGGGAAACCCUGAUGCAGCCAUGCCGCGUGUGUGAAGAAGGCCUUCGGGUUGUAAAGCACUUUCAGUAGGGAGGAAGGUAGUGUAGUUAACACCUGCACUAUUUGACGUUACCUACAGAAGAAGCACCGGCUAACUCCGUGCCAGCAGCCGCGGUAAUACGGAGGGUGCGAGCGUUAAUCGGAAUUACUGGGCGUAAAGCGCAUGCAGGCGGCCUGUUAAGUCAGAUGUGAAAGCCCGGGGCUUAACAUCGGAAUUGCAUUUGAAACUGGCAGGCUAGAGUCUUGUAGAGGGGGGUAGAAUUUCAGGUGUAGCGGUGAAAUGCGUAGAGAUCUGAAGGAAUACCAGUGGCGAAGGCGGCCCCCUGGACAAAGACUGACGCUCAG